CCUACGGGUGGCAGCAGUGGGGAAUAUUGGGCAAUGGACGCAAGUCUGACCCAGCAACGCCGCGUGAAGGAAGAAGGCUUUCGGGUUGUAAACUUCUUUUAAGGGGGAAGAGCAGAAGACGGUACCCCUUGAAUAAGCCACGGCUAACUACGUGCCAGCAGCCGCGGUAAUACGUAGGUGGCGAGCGUUAUCCGGAAUGAUUGGGCGUAAAGGGUGCGUAGGCGGCCUGCUAAGUCUGGAGUGAAAGGUACCGGCUCAACCGGUACAGGCUCUGGAAACUGGCGGGCUAGAGAGCAGGAGAGGGCGGUGGAACUCCAUGUGUAGCGGUAAAAUGCGUAGAUAUAUGGAAGAACACCAGUGGCGAAGGCGGCCGCCUGGCCUGUUACUGACGCUGAGGCACGAAAGCGUGGGGAGCAAAUAGGAUUAGAUACCCCUGUAGUC
rnacentral:rRNA from 1 species